CAUUUAUAAGGAUACUGCCUCUUUUUCCCAGAAAGAGAGUCUCGAGUAAGGUAACCAGGAUCCCCCAUGACGAGGUAAAACGGCCCCACGAUAUGUUUGCUUUCUAUAGGAGCAAUGGCCCUAGAGCAUUUCGAGCGCCCCCAGAUGGAGAUAUGCCGAGAUCCCUCGCGAUCCUUAGUCCAUGCCAGCAGCCGGGUAAUCGAAGGUCAAGCGUAUUCGAAUUACUGGCUAAGCGCGGUAGGUGUGUAAGUGGAUUGAAGCCUGGCUCACUAGAACUGCAUCCAAACUACUCACUAGAGUACGAUAGAGGGAGUAGAAUCAUAGGUAGCGGUGGAAUGCGUAGAUAUAUGAAGAAUACAGUGGCGAAGGCGGCCUCCUGGAUCUGUACUGACACUGAGUGCGAAAGCGUGGGUAGCGAACAGGAUUAGAUACCCUGGUAGUCACGCCGUAAACGAUGACAACUAGCUGUUGGGAGACAAUGUCUUUCAGUGGCGCAGCUAACGUUUUAAGUUGUCCGCCUGGGGAGUACGGCCGCAAGGCUAAAACUCAAAUGAAUUGACGGGGACCCGCACAAGCGGUGGAGCAUGUGGUUUAAUUCGAUGCAACGCGAAAAACCUUACCUACUCUUGACAUACUUGGAAGCUCUUGUAAUGAGAGUGUGCCUUUUGGAACCAAGAUACAGGUGCUGCAUGGCUGUCGUCAGCUCGUGUCGUGAGAUGUUCCGUUAAGUCGGAUAACGAGCGCAACCCUUACCCUUAUUUGCCAGCGAUUCGGUCGGGAACUAUAAGGGGACUGCCGGUGAUAAACCGGAGGAAGGUGAGGACGACGUCAAGUCAUCAUGGCCCUUACGAGUAGGGCUACACACGUGCUACAAUGGGGAAUACAGACGGACGCUAAGCCGCGAGGUGGUGCUAAUCCUAGAAAGUUUCUCGUAGUCCGGAUUGGAGUCUGCAACUCGACUCCAUGAAGUCGGAAUCGCUAGUAAUCGCGGAUCAGCAUGCCGCGGUGAAUACGUUCUCGGGUCUUGUACACACCGCCCGUCACACCAUGGAAGUGGAUUGCACCAGAAGUAGAUAGUCUAACCUUCGGGAGGGCGUUUACCACGGUGUGCUUCAUGACUGGGGUGAAGUCGUAACAAGGUAA
rnacentral:rRNA from 1 species